UAGCUAGUUGGUGAGGUAACGGCUUACCAAGGCGACGAUCUGUAGCGGGUCUGAGAGGAUGAUCCGCCACACUGGAACUGAGACACGGUCCAGACUCCUACGGGAGGCAGCAGUGGGGAAUUUUGGACAAUGGGGGCAACCCUGAUCCAGCCAUGCCGCGUGAGUGAAGAAGGCCUUCGGGUUGUAAAGCUCUUUCGGCCGGGAAGAAAUCGCAUGGGCCAAUACCCUGUGUGGAUGACGGUACCGGAAUAAGAAGCACCGGCUAACUACGUGCCAGCAGCCGCGGUAAUACGUAGGGUGCGAGCGUUAAUCGGAAUUACUGGGCGUAAAGCGUGCGCAGGCGGUUUUGUAAGACAGGCGUGAAAUCCCCGGGCUCAACCUGGGAACUGCGUUUGUGACUGCAAGGCUAGAGUACGGCAGAGGGGGGUGGAAUUCCACGUGUAGCAGUGAAAUGCGUAGAGAUGUGGAGGAACACCAAUGGUGAAGGCAGCCCCCUGGGUCGAUACUGACGCUCAUGCACGAAAGCGUGGGUAGCAAACAGGAUUAGAUACCCUGGUAGUCCACGCCCUAAACUAUGUCAACUAGGUGUUGGGUGGGUAAAACCAUUUAGUACCGUAGCUAACGCGUGAAGUUGACCGCCUGGGGAGUACGGCCGCAAGGUUAAAACUCAAAGGAAUUGACGGGGACCCGCACAAGCGGUGGAUGAUGUGGAUUAAUUCGAUGCAACGCGAAAAACCUUACCUACCCUUGACAUGCCAGGAACUUGCCAGAGAUGGCUUGGUGCCCGAAAGGGAGCCUGGACACAGGUGCUGCAUGGCUGUCGUCAGCUCGUGUCGUGAGAUGUUGGGUUAAGUCCCGCAACGAGCGCAACCCUUGUCGUUAAUUGCCAUCAUUUAGUUGGGCACUUUAGCGAGACUGCCGGUGACAAACCGGAGGAAGGUGGGGAUGACGUCAAGUCCUCAUGGCCCUUAUGGGUAGGGCUUCACACGUCAUACAAUGGUCGGUACAAAGGGUCGCCAAGCCGCGAGGUGGAGCCAAUCCCAGAAAGCCGAUCGUAGUCCGGAUUGCAGGCUGCAACUCGCCUGCAUGAAGUCGGAAUCGCUAGUAAUCGUGGAUCAGCAUGUCACGGUGAAUACGUUCCCGGGUCUUGUACGCACCGCCCGUCACACCAUGGGAGCGGGUUCCGCCAGAAGUAGGUAGCCUAACCGCAAGGAGGGCGCUUACCACGGCGGGGUUCGUGACUGGGGUGAAGUCGUAACAAGGUAGCCGUAGGGGAACCUGCGGCUG
rnacentral:rRNA from 1 species